ensembl:misc_RNA Metazoa_SRP Metazoan signal recognition particle RNA
GCCAGGUGUGGUGGCUCAUGCCUGUAAUCCUACCACUUUGGGAGGCCAAGGCAGGAGGAUCCCUUGAGCCCAGGAGUUCUGGACCAGUCUGGGCAACAUAAGGAGACCCUGUCUUUA